GCCACAGAAAUCCUCCUCAUCAAAAACAUGACUUUGAUCUGCGUCCCUAUCUGGACUCUCCUCUGCUGCUGCUUCACAGAGUCCAGAGGCCAGUACACACUGACUCAGCCUGGAGUAGUGAGCUCUGCUCUGGGAGGAUCAGUCACCAUCACAUGUAGGACCAGUCAGGAUAUUUAUAGCACUUAUUUAGCCUGGUACCAACAGAGAGAUGGAGGAGUUCCUAAACUUCUCAUUUACUACAUUAGCACUCGACAAUCAGGGAUUCCAGAUCGAUUUUCAGGUAGUGGAUCAAACUCUGACUUCACUCUGACCAUCAGUGGAGUCCAGACUGAAGAUGCAGCAGUUUAUUACUGUCAGAGUCUUCACUAUCCCAACAGUCAGUAUGUGUUCACACAGUGAAAAACCGUCGUACAAAAACCUCCCUCAGUCAGACUGAACAGAAACUGAAGUGACUGCUGCAGCUG